rnacentral:rRNA from 1 species
AAGUGUGUUGUGAAAUGUAGACGCUCAACGUCUGACUUGCAGCGCAUACUGGUUUCCUUGAGUACGCACAACGUUGGCGGAAUUCGUCGUGUAGCGGUGAAAUGCUUAGAUAUGACGAAGAACUCCGAUUGCGAAGGCAGCUGACGGGAGCGCAACUGACGCUGAAGCUCGAAGGUGCGGGUAUCGAACAGGAUUAGAUACCCUGGUAGUCCGCACAGUAAACGAUGGAUGCCCGCUGUUGGUACCUGGUAUCAGCGGCUAAGCGAAAGCAUUAAGCAUCCCACCUGGGGAGUACGCCGGCAACGGUGAAACUCAAAGGAAUUGACGGGGACCCGCACAAGCGGAGGAACAUGUGGUUUAAUUCGAUGAUACGC